rnacentral:misc_RNA from 1 species
UGAUAAUAGUCAGUCCGAACAACUUCCCAUCUCAAGGGAGUAAUGGCUAAUUAAAUGAUCUUAUUAAUUGUAAAGAGCUUAAUAGAUUAAUUUUUUUAUUUCACGAACACUUUGGGAAAAAAGAUUAAACAAACAUUAAAGCAUUGAACUUCAGUUUGCAUGGAAGUAAACAGACAAAUGCAUGAAAGUAAUUAAGAUUAUUGUCCUUCUGAGGAAUUCUCUCAUCAAUCUCUUUGUUAAUUACUUCAAGGCAGUCCACCACCAGCGCCACCACCAGCACCAAACCCACCGCCAGCUCCACCACCAAGUCCACCACCGCCACCUCCUCCAAAGCCACCUCCACCUCCAGCACCACCACCACCACCACCAAGGCCA